AUUGAACGCUGGCGGCAUGCCUUACACAUGCAAGUCGAACGGCAGCACGGGAGCAAUCCUGGUGGCGAGUGGCGAACGGGUGAGUAAUAUAUCGGAACGUGCCCAGUCGUGGGGAUAACGUAGCGAAAGCUACGCUAAUACCGCAUACGAUCUAUGGAUAGAAAGGCGGGGGAUCGCAAGACCUCGCGCGUAUUGGAGGCGGCCGAUAUCAGAUUAGGUAGUUGGUGAGGUAAAGGCUCACCAAGCCGACGAUCUGUAGCUGGUCUGAGAGGACGACCAGCCACACUGGGACUGAGACACGGCCCAGACUCCUACGGGAGGCAGCA
rnacentral:rRNA from 1 species